GGUACCUGCAUUCACCAAUAACAGAAUAUCAUUUGGAAGGCAGGAUCACAGACAGUUUAGUGAGCUGAGUGAGGUUAGGCAUUCCCAAUAACAGGAUAUCAUUUGGAAGGCAGGAUUACAGACAGUUUAGUGAGCUGAGUGAGGUUGGGCAUUCACCUGAGCAGGAGAAGCGGCUUCUUUCUAUGCCCGGUCGAUACAUGGAUGGUAUGUUUUCUAUUUCUUGCCAUUGAACAUCCUUGGGGAUGUUCUAUGGCGAAAAAACCAGGGGGACACGGAGAUCGGGCACGCACGCUCCCUGUGUGCCCGAACUCCGCGACGCCCUGGGUCCCCGAGGAUGGCCAUAGAAGUAUUUUUUUUCUGUUUCUCAGUCCUAAAUUUGACUUGUUGAACAAAUGUGGGCUAGAAGCUUGUGGUCCUCAUAUCUCAAGAUGGACAUUGUUAAUACCUCUAUUAUGGCAUGGUCACUCCUUAUACGUAAUGGGAUUUUAAUGUUAAGCGCUUUAAUACGUAUCAUGAUUUCACGCCAAAGCGCUUGGAAACUGUGCAAUAGGCGCUAUUCAAACACUUAUACUUAUUUUUCUAUCCAUUAUUAAGAGAAUCGAAAGUUACAUAUAUUGUGUUUUCAAGGGCUGAGGAAUGUCGAUCAGCCAUUCCCUUAUUAUUCAAUACGUCAUCAAACAAUACAGCGGUUUAUUCGACAAGUCACUUACUUCAAGGUCCUACUGAAGGAAACAAUACCGCGGUUUAUUCGACAAGUCACUUACUUCAAGGUCCUACUGAAGGAUGAGAGAACUGGGAGCAUUGGGACGUCCUGUUGAAAACAAUUCAAAAUAAUAAUUACAAGCGAUUUUUAUAACGGCGAAUUCCUUACAUAAAUUCCUAUUGCCUUCCGCCAGACAAAAGCCAUGAACUGUUUUCAUUGGUUUUAAAUUUGACAGGUUUCAACAAAGACAUCUCACUGCAAUGCGUUGACCAAUCAAAGGAUAAAUAACGUUAUCUAUUUAAAUAAACUAAUUAAAAUAAACUAA